rnacentral:rRNA from 1 species
AGUGAACGCUGGCGGUAGGCCUAACACAUGCAAGUCGAACGGCAGCACAGUAAGAGCUUGCUCUUACGGGUGGCGAGUGGCGGACGGGUGAGGAAUACAUCGGAAUCUACUUUUUCGUGGGGGAUAACGUAGGGAAACUUACGCUAAUACCGCAUACGACCUACGGGUGAAAGCAGGGGAUCUUCGGACCUUGCGCGAUUGCAUGAGCCGAUGUCGGAUUAGCUAGUUGGCGGGGUAAAGGCCCACCAAGGCGACGAUCCGUAGCUGGUCUGAGAGGAUGAUCAGCCACACUGGAACUGAGACACGGCCCAGACUCCUACGGGAGGCAGCAGUGGGGAAUAUUGGACAAUGGGCGCAAGCCUGAUCCAGCCAUACCGCGUGGGUGAAGAAGGCCUUCGGGUUGUAAAGCCCUUUUGUUGGGAAAGAAAAGCAGCAGGUUAAUACCCCGCUGUUCUGACGGUACCCAAAGAAUAAGCACCGGCUAACUUCGUG